GGGGAGGAGCAUCGCUUGUCAUGAGCUGGUUGCCGGGGCGGGGGCGGAGGCGGAGGCAGAGGCGGAGGCGCUUUGAAAGCCGUGAUUGUGUGGCACUGGACGGGGAAUCAAGAGACCCGGUUUCUAAUCCCUGCUCUGUCACUAACAAGCUGCGUGAUCUUCGGAAAAAAGUAAUCCUUUUGGAAAGCUGGAAACGUAGUCCAGUAAGAUUCCCAUUGCUCAAAAAAUUUUUGGCAUUGAAUUUUUGUAAUUACCUUCAGAAUUCACAGCACAUUUUUUGAAUAUUUUUAAUGGUAGUUAAUUCUCAUCUUCUUAAGUUGGAUUUCAUUUCUGCAAGCUGCUAACAGGUCCUUAUAACCGAGACAAGUGAAUGAAGUGGGUGUUAAAGUCACUGUUUGGGAUAAAAAAUGAAGUGUGAUUAUUUUCAUAUUUUUAGAUUUUUUAUAGUGUGUGGUUUAUAGAAAGACUCCAGGAAUAUUCUGUGCUGUGGU
rnacentral:sRNA from 1 species